UACAGAGGUCUCAAGCGUUGUUCGGAUUCAUUGGGCGUAAAGGGUGCGUAGGUGGCGCUGUAAGUCGGGUGUGAAAUUUCGGAGCUUAACUCCGAAACUGCAUUCGAUACUGCCGGUGCUUGAGGACUGGAGAGGAGACUGGAAUUUACGGUGUAGCGGUGAAAUGCGUAGAUAUCGUAAGGAAGACCAGUGGCGAAGGCGGGUCUCUGGACAGUUCCUGACGCUGAGGCACGAAGGUCAGGGGAGCAAACGGG
rnacentral:rRNA from 1 species